UGCUGCAGAGCGAUGUGUUCAGCCCAAAUUGACAGCACGGAUUUACGGGAUAGUUGAAAUAGUUAUAAACCAAUUUUCCAAAGCCAUUUCGUAUACAUUUUUCAUAAACUUAACUUAACUUAUACGUAUUUCUUCUUCCCUUGCAGGUAUGAUGCAUAUUCUGAUGAAGGACCAAUGUAACUUUAGGAAGAAUAGCCAACAAUCCGGCCAUUGAGUAACAAUCGCAGCUGAAUGUUCCCCAGCCAGCAUCGACAAUCGUUGGCUGUGUUGCGGCACCAUUAUUGUUGGCUGACAUCAUUGGAUUGAAUGACUUUGUUGGCAAGAUAUAACUCCGAUGUAGGACACUGUUGGUCUCUUUCCCAAACGCCAACGAACGGUUCGCUAACGAUUCCAUGCAUCAACUCUAGUUGUAAGUAAUUGUUCCGAAGCCGUCAACCAUCGGAAAACCGCCAAAACUUAAUCAACCUAAAUAAUAUGCCGACCUCUGCUAAACUUUCGUUCAAAAGAAUUUGAGUAAACCU